UACAGAGGCCUCGAGCGUUAGGCGGAAUCACUGGGCUUAAAGCGUGUGUAGGUGGAUGCCUAAGUACCUUGUGAAAUCCCAUGGCUUAACCAUGGAAUUGCUUGGUAUACUGGGUGUCUUGAGCCACUCAGGGGCGAGCGGAACAAACGGUGGAGCGGUGAAAUGCGUAGAUAUCAGGAAGAACACCCGUGGCGAAGGCGGCUCUCUGGAACGCAACUGACGCUGAGACGCGAAAGCGUGGGGAGCAAACAGG
rnacentral:rRNA from 1 species